UCUGACAAACUCUGUAGCAGCUGGCUUACUGGUGGGGUCCUCGGUUCCUCGGGUCCGAACCUACACGGGUGGACUCCAAUGAGGGACCAAACAUACAUAACAUAACUCUAAUAUACUCCCCAAAAACCCCCUAAAACAUCAAGAAACAAUCAUAGAAAAACAUGCAAGAAAUGGCUGAACAGGGCACUUUCGGCGGCAGGUUCGGCGGCCGAAAGUCCCUCCAGAGCCGAAAGUCAGGCAGGUUCGGCGGCACCUUCGACGGCCGAAACUCCCAGACAGAGGCGAAACUCAUGCAUGUUCGGCGGAACCUUCGGCAGCCGAAAGUCCCAGACAGAGACGAAAGUCUCUUUUCGGGGGCAACUUCGGCAGCCGAAUGCUGCCUCCACAAGGGGGUUCGGCGGCCAAAAGUUCCUUCGGCUGCCGAACCUGGUUUCUUCCCGAAGGGCAGAAACUUGGCUCUCAUGAGCUUCUUGCCUCCCAAAACCUCAAAUCAUGCAUAAACUUGUUCUAAACAUGCAUACACAUCAUACAUUACACCUAGGGGUCUCAAACUAGCAAAUACCCUAACUACAACACUUCAAACACACAAAAAUCAACAUACAUUGUUCAUCAAAACAUCAAAACCCAUAAACUCAUCAACAAGCCUAAACAUGCAUCUCUACCCAUAAAACCACUAAAUGCUUGUUUAAAACACAUAAUAAGGGUGGAUCCGAGCUUACCUCUUGAAGAAACGAGAGGAAAGGCGAUCCUAGCUUGGAGAUGGAGAGAUUGAGCUCUUUGAACCUCCAAGUACCCAAAACUUGCUCUUUACUCACAGAUCUUCAAAACAGAAGUUAAAACCCGUGAAAAUCAUGGAAGAUCUAAGGAAAACACUCAAGAUCGAGGGAGGGGUGGCGGAGACUCACCUUGGCCGACAACGGGGGAGAAAAAGCUCGCCCG
rnacentral:lncRNA from 1 species